UACGUAGGUGGCAAGCGUUGUCCGGAAUUAUUGGGCGUAAAGCGCGCGCAGGUGGUUUAAUAAGUCUGAUGUGAAAGCCCACGGCUCAACCGUGGAAGGUCAUUGGAAACUGUCCAACUUGAAUGCAGAAGAGGUAAGUGGAAUUCCAUGUGUAGCGGUGAAAUGCGUAGAUAUAUGGAGGAACACCAGUGGCGAAGGCGACUUACUGGUCUGUAACUGACACUGAGGCACGAAAGCGUGGGUAGCAAACAGG
rnacentral:rRNA from 1 species